rnacentral:rRNA from 1 species
UCGUAGUUGGAUUUCUGGCAGGAGUGACCGGCCGCACACACUGUGUGCGAGUUGCGUCAUUCUGGCCAUCCUUGGUGAGAUCCUGUUUGGCAUUAAGUUGUCGGGCAGGGGAUAACCAUCGUUUACUGUGAAAAAAUUAGAGUGUUUAAAGCAGGCUUAUGCCGUUGAAUAUAUUAGCAUGGAAUAAUAAGAUAGGACUUUGAGUCUAUUUUGUUGGUUUGCGAGUCAAAGUAAUGAUUAAUAGGGACAGUUGGGGGUAUUCGUAUUUCAUUGUCAGAGGUGAAAUUCUUGGAUUUCUGAAAGACGAACUACUGCGAAAGCAUUUACCAAGGAUGUUUUCAUUAAUCAAGAACGAAAGUUAGGGGAUCGAAGAUGAUUAGAUACCAUCGUAGUCUUAACCAUAAACUAUGCCGACUCAGGAUUGGCGGUUGUUUUUU